rnacentral:lncRNA from 10 species
GCUCAUCUCACAAGUUCUUUGUGAAGUAGGGUCCCAGGUUGAAGAAUAUGCUAUGGAGGAUUUCUUGCUUAUGUAUCAGGUAUUAUAUAAGCCUCCCAGAGUGAGAGGUGAGACCUUAUUCAUCUGCUUUAAUAGUGCUUAAAGCAUCAGUCACAGGGCUUUAGUCAGGUCUACUACUUGGUUAAGCAUGUGGUCUUCUAGGUUAAGUCUGUGGACUUCUUCCCCCAGACCCACCUGUUUCUCCAGAAGGCAGACUGGUGAAUAAAUGGAAAUAUGGCUUCCUCCCACCCAGAGAACACUGUGUGCAAGACACCAUCCUGGAGGAAGAGAAUAGCCCCACCAGACAAACCUCCUGGAGCCUUGGCCAUAGAAUUCCCAGCCUCCAUAACUUUUAGGAAAAUUCUGUUGACCUAUAAUGAAGUUUACAGAUUUUUCCUCAUAUCUGUCCAGUCUACGGAUUAGAUCUUCAAAGAGAUGAAAUCCCACUAUUUUGCCCAGGCUCAUCUAUAACUUCUGAGCUCAAGACAUCCUCCUGCUUUGACCUUCCAAAGUGCUGGGAUAGGGGACAGCAUUGAAUUCAGAGCCUCACAAUUGCUGUGUUCUACUUCGCCUAGCAACCAGAGAUGAUCCCUGCAACAUGCUGCUGUUGCUGGGAGUGGGAAAGAGGUGGCAUCGGCGGUUCAAGACUGAGUUUUCUAUCUCUUCAGUGCCUCUUUCAACAAUGAAGAUCAAACCAGGUUUUGUGCAAAUAUCUGCUGAGUGAACUACUUAUUUGAAAAUACAUCAUUGGUUAAUAUUCCCUUUUGCUCAUUGAAAUCUCAAAGACUACAGGUGUGGUGCAAUUCCAUUAGAUGAAAGAGAUCUACACAUUCAGAAGCACAUGAUUCUUCCCCCUUCCAUGAUUCCAGUGGCCAAUAGACAAACUACAAUAAAGCCAUGCCCUGACUGGAUGUGCCUAACAUUUGUCUGGUGCUUAAAGGAGUUGGCUGCAUGCGUGGAAAUGUUGGAAAGUCACCAAAAAUAGUUCUCCAAGUCAGAAGCGGUGCAAAAGCUGCCUCAGCUCUUGGUGGAUUUUCAAUUUCUCCCAGCCAUCUCUGUUUCGCUAAAGGUUUCUGAAGACAGUGGAAUGCUGUUGAAGACACCACCUUGAUAAAACAAAAACAUCAGCCAAAUUAAAUUUAAAGGAGUUUAAUUGAGCAAAGAAUUAUUCAUGAAUCAAGCAGUCUUCCAAGCCAGAGUAGGCUCAAAUACUCCAGCACAGCCACGUGGUGGAAGAUUUAUGGACAAAAGAAGAAAAGUAACAUAUAGAAAAUGGAAAUGAGGGGAAGCUUUUUUCUCCUCCCCAUCCUGAUCACUAGUAUGAGAAGGGGUGCUAAUGGACCAGCCUUGGCCUUGCAGAUGAAGAUGAUGAAGGAAGAAGAUGUAUAAAGAACCUCUGAAAGAGUCCCAGUUUUACAUUUCAAAGUCUUUUUCCUUCUGUUGUUUAUUGUGUUGGGUUGGAGUGGAGGAUAUUUGAUGGAGAAUUGAUUCUGAAACUUGCCAAAAUAUGGAUAAUACUUUGCUCCUUUUCCAUUGUGGGUUAUCACAAAGAAGAGUUUCACUUUUAGUCAUCUAUUUACAGGUACGGCAAUAGCUAUUUUCUUUUUCUUUUUUUUAUUUUAGGUUUUAUUUUAGGUACAUGUGAAGGUUUCUUGUAUAGGUAAACUAGUGUCAUGUGGGAUUGUUGCACAGAUUAUUUUAUCAACCAGGUAUUAAGGAAGCUCAGUACCCAAUAGUUAUAUUUUCUGCUCCUCUCCCUCAUCCCACUCUCCACCCUGAGGUCGACCCCAGUGUCUGUUGUUUCCUUCUUUCUGUUAAUGAGUUCUCAUCAUUUAGCUCCCACUUAUAAGUGAGAACAUGUGCUAUGUGUUUUUCUGUUCCUGUGUUAGUUGGCUAAGGAUAAUGGCCUCCAGCUCCAUUUUUGUUUCCCUCUCCAGCAUCUGUUUUUUUUUUUAAUUUUUAGUAAUAUCCAUUCUGACUGGUAUGAGAUGGUAUCUCAUUGUGGUUCUGACUUGCAUUUCUGUAAUGGUCAAUGAUGUUCAGCUUUUCUUUUCAUGUGCUUGUUGCCCACAUGUAUGUUUUGUUUUGAAAAGUGUUUGUUCGUGUCCUUUAUCCACUUUUCAAUGGGGUUGUUUGCUUUUCUCUCGUAAAUUUGUUUAAUUUCCUUAUAGAUGUUAUGACCUAGCAGCUGUACCUUUUUUAAUUUCAAGACAUUCAAUAAACUAAGAACCAACAGCACAGUUGAUGUGUCUUUCCAUGACACCUGCCAUCUUUCCUCUCUUCAUAGCUAUAAGAAUAUUUUGGAAGAAGAGUUGCUGAUAAAUGCCACUUAGGGAAUCUCUGAGCAUCUGUUAUUAUAAAUGGUUGACUAAAAUUUAGGGUAAAGCAUCCUAUUAAAAAUGAAGUUAAGGACUUUAUGUAGAACUUUAAAAUUUGUCCCCCAAAUCCUGUUGUAUGUCAACAUAUUAUAAAAUAAAUUGUAAAUAUCAUAACUCAGCAAAAGAACAUCAUCUAAAACUCAUUAAGAAUUUAAUGUUGAGUAUAUCAGUGACACAAAAUCAUGAGGCAAGAUGGUUUAAAUAUGUUACAAAUAAUAAUAAAUAAUCAUACCCUCUGAGUUUAAAUUCUUUAUCACCCUGUAUGUACUGCCACUCAACACUUGACUUCAGGGCCAUAAUCCUUAGUGAACCCAUCUAACAUCCACCUAAAAUAAAGGUUUGGAGCCACUCUUCUAUGCUUAACAAAUAGCCUUAAGCAUCAUGAAUAAACAGAGACAGGCUAGCUCCUUUUUGCUCUAUAGCCUUAAGUAGUUCUGACCAUGACUAGAAAGACAUAGCUGCAAGCAGCCUGAUCUUUUUUUAACAUCUUGACUUUUUGCAAGGUAUUUCUAAAAUAUGUUACUAAUAUGUACUUCUUGGUUGUUUUACUAAUAUUUGAAAGAACUAAAGUUAUCAUUAGUCACGUUUCAUUUGAAACUACAGAAGCAAUAAAAACAACAAAGUUCCAAUAUAAAAUCCAUUAUUAAAUAGCUUUCAACAUAAUAGAUUAUUUACUACAAAAUAGCAA